rnacentral:rRNA from 1 species
AGUGAACGCUGGCGGUAGGCCUAACACAUGCAAGUCGAACGGCAGCACAGUAAGAGCUUGCUCUUACGGGUGGCGAGUGGCGGACGGGUGAGGAAUACAUCGGAAUCUACUUUUUCGUGGGGGAUAACGUAGGGAAACUUACGCUAAUACCGCAUACGACCUACGGGUGAAAGCAGGGGAUCUUCGGACCUUGCGCGAUUGAAUGAGCCGAUGUCAGAUUAGCUAGUUGGCGGGGUAAAGGCCCACCAAGGCGACGAUCCGUAGCUGGUCUGAGAGGAUGAUCAGCCACACUGGAACUGAGACACGGUCCAGACUCCGACGGGAGGCAGCAGUGGGGAAUAUUGGACAAUGGGCGCAAGCCUGAUCCAGCCAUACCGCGUGGGUGAAGAAGGCCUUCGGGUUGUAAAGCCCUUUUGUUGGGAAAGAAAAGCAGCAGGUUAAUACCCCGCUGUUCUGACGGUACCCAAAGAAUAAGCACCGGCUAACUUCGUG